GAGAUAUAAUUGAGAGGAGAGGUCCUUUGGCUUCCAAGCGUUUCUGUUCUUCUUCUUCAUCCCUUGAAACGUCAUCUCCACGCCCUACCAAGCCAUCUAAGGUCUUCCUCGGUGAGCUAGGUUCCGGUUGAGAAUCAAGUAUCGGAAUCUGUAGAGACAGAGCUUGGAUCCUAUGAUCCCCAAUCUAUGGAUGCGGAUUUACGUUAUGAUCCCCAAGCUAUCCUCUGACUCAGUGGCUUUCAUCUACUCUUCAUCGGCCUCCGUCUCUCUCUCUCUCUCUCUUCUCCGGCACAUCGACCCUCUCCGAUCAGAAAACUCUACCCAGAAGCCGAUCUAAUUGUAGCUGCUGAAUUGCUUAGACAGAAAGAGAAUGUGUAGGCAGAAUUGUUGCACGAAAUCGUCACAGGAGGAGGAGGUGAUUUCACCACCUGAUGAGAAUCUCUUGAUCUACUGUAAACCUGUUCGUCUCUACAACAUUCUUCGCAUUCGCUCUCUAUUCAACCCAUCGUUUCUUCCUAGAUGCUUUCUUCUUUUUAUCCUUUUCUCGGGUCUAAUUAUGAAAACUCAUGAAUGGUUUCUUCUCUGUUGUGUGUGUUUUUUGGUUUAAGUCCGGAUCUGCUGGGAUUGUAGUUUUUAAUUAUAAGGAUUGUAAUAACACGUUGCAGAAAACUGAAGCUGUGUUUUAUUAUUUUCUCUUCUUCCGGCAAUUUUGUUUCUGAUGUUUUUGUGGAUUUAGGUGAAGUGGUGACGGAUGGUGAGAAGUCGAAGACGGGGAAGAAGGGAGCUAAGGCUCCAUGGGCGAAGCCACUUUCUCAGUAUUCUCAGGCAUACUUUGAUGCGCCCGGGGUUUAGUAAAUUUAAGUUUUUUAUAUUGGCCAAUUUGUAACCACUGUUAUUGUUUUCCAUAUUCAUAUUCAUGAAUGGAGUUUUAGUGAAGGUGAUUUCCUUGAAAUAAGCAGAUGAUGCUUAAUCACCAAAAGCUUACACAACCGAGGAUUACCUCAAGAUCACUGAAGAGCAGCUCAAAGCUUCGUCUCCUGGUAAAAGCCAAACAUAUGAUCAAAUUCAGACUCAAGAACCUGCUGUACAAAGCCAGCCUGAAGUUACAUCGAGAGAGACCAUGGCUGCAUCUCCUCCAAGGCAAGAUUAAAAGGCACCCAAAAACUUGACUCGUCAUGUUAAAAGCAUAAAAGCCUCUCUGUCUAUUGGGAGGCUUUCGGAGGCACAUUUUUCAUUUGACAAAGGAGACAAAGCAAUUAGCUCUCAGGACGUUGUCAGGAAGCAUUAUAUAUUGUGCUGUUCUUAUGAAUUGAAAAUAUGAGAGUGUGCGACACAUAUGUGUAUUUAUGUUCUAUUUGUUUCUUACUUAAUGAUUAUAAAUAGGGUUUGUUAGUUA